rnacentral:rRNA from 1 species
AGUGUGUUCUAUUUGUUGGUUCUAGGACCGCCAUAAUGAUUAAUAGGGACAGUCGGGGGCAUCAGUAUCAAUUGUCAGAGCUGAAAUUCUUGGAUUUAUUGAAGACUAACUACUGCGAAAGCAUUUGCCAAGGACGUUUUCAUUGAUCAGGGACUAAAGUUGAGGGAUCGAAGACGAUUAGAUACCGUCGUAGUCUUAACCACAAACUAUGCCGACUAGCGAUUGGGCCUUGACCUUUGGUCAGGUUCAGCAGCUUAGCGAAAGUAAAGUCUUUGGGUUCUGGGGGGAGUAUGGGACGCAAGGCUGAAACUUAAAGGAAUUGACGGAAGGGCACCACCAGGAGUGGAGCCUGCGGCUUAAUUUGACUCAACACGGGGAAACUCACCAGGUCCAGACAUAAUAAGGAUUGACAGAUUGAAAGCUCUUUCUAGAUUUUAUGGGUGGUGGUGCAUGGCCGUUCUUAGUUCGUGGAGUGAUUUGUCUGGUUAAUUCCGAUAACGAACGAGACCUUAAUCUGCUAAAUAGCCGGGCCGACUUUUUAGUUGGUACUAUGGGGCCUUCGGGCUCCCCGGCUUCUUAGAGAGACUACUGAAUUCAAUUCAGUGGAAGUUUUAGGCAAUAACAGGUCUGUGAUGCCCUUAGAUGUUCUGGGCCGCACGCGCGCUACACUGACAAAACCAGCGAGUUUUACAUCCUUGGCCGGAAGGUCUGGGUAAACUUUUGAAAUUUUGUCGUGCUGGGGAUAGAACAUUGCAAUUAUUGUUCUUCAACGAGGAAUUCCUAGUAAGCGCAAGUCGUCAGCUUGCGUUGAUUACGUCCCUGCCCUU